rfam:Brachypodium distachyon strain Bd21 chromosome 1, whole genome shotgun sequence.
AAAGUACUCCCUCCGUCCAACAAAAGAUAUCUCAAGUUUGUCAAAAUUUGGAUGUAUCUAGACAUGACUUAAUGUAUAGAUGCAUUCAAAUUUAGUCAAAGUUGAGACAUCUUUUGUUCGAUGAAGAAAAUAUGUA